rnacentral:rRNA from 1 species
UUCCCGGGCCUUGUACACACCGCCCGUCACACCACGAAAGUUGCAAUACCCGAAGCCGGUGGCCUAACCCGCAAGGGAGGGAGCCGUCGAAGGUAGGGUCGAUGAUUGGGGUG